UUAUGUGGCAUUCUAAAGUCAUGCUAAUCUAAGUGAACUUGUCAGAUCUUGGAAGCAUAGUAGAAUUGGGCUUGGUUCGUACCUUGAUGGGAGACUGUCUGGGAAAACCAGAUGCAGGAG
rnacentral:rRNA from 1 species